rnacentral:rRNA from 1 species
CACGUAGGGGACGAGCGUUGUUCGGAUUUACUGGGCGUAAAGGGCGCGUAGGCGGCCUCCGCAAGUCGACUGUGAAAUCUCCGGGCUUAACCCGGAAAGGUCAGCCGAAACUGCGGGGCUAGAGUGCAGAAGGGGCAACUGGAAUUCUCGGUGUAGCGGUGAAAUGCGUAGAUAUCGAGAGGAACACCUGCGGCGAAGGCGGGUUGCUGGGCUGACACUGACGCUGAAGCGCGAAAGCUAGGGGAGCGAACGGG